rnacentral:lncRNA from 1 species
CCAUUAUUACCCGACGGUUUAUCUUCCCAAAAACCACUUUUUCACCCAAAACGCUCCCUUGUUUCCAUAAAUUCAUUUCAUCCAAAACACUCUUCUCCGAUGCUUUAAGAUCCCAGGGAGCAAAUCGAAACCUUCCUCAAAGAAACUUCAGUUCGGUUCUCUGAUCCAAUCAUCUUCCAGUACUUUUACUGCAUAUCUUGGCAUCGAACCCUCCAGGUAAAACUCUUCCCUUUUCUUUAGACUUUCAGUAGCUACACUGUCGGCCAGUUUAUUAAUUUUACGACAAACAUGGUAAAACUUAAGGAAUCUAAAGUUACACUAUAAAGCCUUUAUAUAUUGGAUAAUAGAGCAAAUUUCGGAAUUGUCACUAGAGUUAGAGAUACAUUUCUUAAUAGCUGAUAGUGAGUACCCUUCAAUAUGAAUUUUACGAUCCUUAAGAUUUAACCCCAUUUUAACUGCCUCUAAACAUGAAUGGGCUUUUGCUGCAAAAGCUGAACCAGCAUUCUCAUGGAUGAUUACUUUGGAGACGAUUACCUUGCCCAUUCCAUCUCUAACAACCACUCCCGAUCCUAAUCUGAAAAGUUCACUAUUAAAGCCGACAUCAAAAUAAAUUUUGAUAUCCUCUCCAGAAGAGGGAACCCAUACUUCUCUAGUCACCUCUUUGGUAAGUGCUUUUUCCUCCAAGCAGUCUAACUCUCUUACAUACCUAUGAAUAAAAAAAGCCAUAUCCUCACUUGAUUUAUUUAUUCGUUCAUGCAGACAUUUGUUUCUCUUAGUCCAUAAGGCCCAAAGGGAGACACAGAACACUCGUUGCUGGGAGUUUGAGCAGACACUAAAAGCCCAAGUAAGCCAUUCGAACCAUUCUUGUAUAUUGCUUGGCAUUAUCCACUGAAGGUCCAGUAAACUCCAAACGUCCUUUGCAACAGGGCAAUUAAGGAAGACAUGUAUCAUAUUUUUAGCUUCUUUCCCAUAUCGUGGACACUCUACAUUAGUCACCAGUCUCUUACAACGUAGAUUUAGCAUAGUAGGAAUAAUUUUUUUGAGAUGCGCCAUACUAUAAUUUUAACUUUAGAAGGAAGUUUCAAACUCCAUAGCUUUCGAUAGAAAUCUCUAGAAAUGAGUUGUGAUGUAUUUAAUUAGGAGUAGAAAAACCCAACUGUAAUAGUUUAUAGGCACUGCACACCGAGAACAUCCCCGAUGGCUCACCUCUCCAAGCCAUUCAUCUUCAUGAGGAACUUUUGCCAGUGGGAUUCGAAGGUUCCUUCCCGCAUCAACCGCAUCAAAGGUAUUGGUAAUAAUUUCCGCUCUCCAUUCUCUAAUAUUAUUAUCAAUGAGCUCAACAACAAACUCCAAAUUACAAUUAUCAACUGGAUGAUUUAACCUGUAAUUAUCAGAACCUUGAAUCCAGGCAUGAUUAAAAAUAGAAAUAUUAUCACCCUUCCCCACCCUCUAACUCGUGCCUUCCUGAAGCACUCUCCUCGUUGCCCAUAUACUUAUCCACGUGUAAGAAGCAUUGUGCUUUAAACAUGCCUGUAAAAGAUCUGAAUUGGGGCAAUAUUUAGCUUUUAAAACUUUCACUAAUAAUGAAUUGGAGUUAGUCAUAAGUCUCCAUCCCUACUUCGCUAAGAGAGCCACGUUAAAAUUUGCGAAGUUCUUAAAACCCAAACCACCAUACUCCUUUGAGUCACAUAGUUUUUCCCAUGUGCAUCAAUGCAAACCACAUUUUCCAUGAAAUUUUUGCCACCAAAACCUAGCUAUUAUUCCCUUCAUUUCUUCACAUAACGUUUUAGGUAGUAGAAAAUAAGCCAUAGUAUAAGUUGGGAUUGAUUGUAAAAUUGUUUUAAUGUAGACUUCUUUCCUGUAUUGUGAAAAGAAUCAUGUACUCCAAUUAUCAAAUUUUUUUCUUCAUUCCAUCCUUUAAGAUUUUAAAAGAGGCUAUUUUCUUUCUACAGACCAUAUUAGGAAGUCCCAAGUAGUUUUUGGGAUUAUUUGAAUGUCUCACUCCUAGCUCAUUAGAUAUUUUUGCUCGUAUAGUUUCAAGAGUGUUCCUAUUAAAGAAAACCGUUGACUUUUCAAAAUUCACGUAUUGUCCUGAACAAUUUUUGUAUUCUUUCAAGAUAUCUUUCAAGACGUUUGCACCUCUUGUUGUAGUUCCCUGUAAAGAAUGCAGUCAUUUGCAAAAAGUAAAUGAGAGGCCACUGGUCUAUUUUGACUUGCCUUAACCCCUUUUAAUUUCCUCUGGCUAUUAGCAAGACGCAUAAGAGUAGAUAAUCUCUUGCUGUAAAUCAAAAAUAGAGAAGGGCUUAGAGGAUCCCCUUGCCUUAGUCCUCUUAUAGGUCAAAAAGAAUUUCCUCUCAAACCAUUAAUGUUAACUGAAUAGGAAACUUUUGAUAUACAAUCAAGCACUAUAUCAACCCAAGCCUUUGCAAAACCUAUUUUAGUCAUCAUUGCUCGAAGAAAACCCCACUCCAUUCUAUCGUAAGUUUUAGUUGUGUCCAAUUUUAGGGCCAUCAGACCUUUACUUCCUUUACUUUUUUAUCCUAAAGUUUACCAUAAAGUUAAAUUGAAUUUAGAUAUGAUAAAAAAUCUAAUUAGACAAUUAGUUAAAUACAAAUAGUUUGACCUUAAAGUUAGUGGUUUUGGAGAAUGAGAAAUUGAGACCCUAUUUUUGUAAGGUGGAUUAUAUUAGAAGUGAGUUGAAUUUUGGUCAAGUAACUUUUGUUGAAUUAGUGUUUAAUUAAGGUAUAGGGACUAAAUCAAAAAAACAUUAAAAGUUGAAUCUUUAAGGAAUCUACAAAUAGAAAAUAGAGUGAGAGCCUUGUAUAGCAAAUAUGCCACUUUAUAAGUUGUAGUUGUCGAUUUCUAUUUAUGUUAGUAAUAAAUUUUGGUUUAAAUAAGUUAUAAAAUAAAAAAUUCUAAUUAAAUUAAUAAAGGUAAAAAAACAUGAAUUAAAUGUGAAAGUGGGAAGAAAGAGACAACCUCCUUGUAUUCAUUUUUUUUCAUUCGAAAGUGAAGAAGAAAAAUUGAGGGACGAAUCAUAAGUUUUUUUUAAAUUUUUAAAUUUUUAGAAUUUUGGGAACUCAAGCUAGUUGACCCAUGUCGUAUUUUUACGAUUAAAGUUUGAGGAUUUUACUAUUGUUGAAUAGUUAGAUUUUUAGGGAUUAAUUUGACAGAUUUUAAGUUGAGUAUUGAAAAAAAGACUAAAUUGUAAAGUUAAUUAUGAUUUUAUGAAAUAGGGAUUAAAUUGCACAAAUUUUUAAAUUUGGGGUAGAAAUGUAAAAUAGGAAGUUAAAAGUAGGCCUAGAAUGAAAUUGAUAUAAAAAUUGGUGAUUAAAUUUGAAAGUUAUGUUAGUCUUGAUUUUAGGGACUAAAUUCAAUAAAAUACAAAAGUUGUAUAAAAUAGCAAUUGAUUGUGAAAAUGGUUGUGUAUUGAUAAUUUUAUACGUUUAUAUUAAUCUAUAGCUAACGUUGACCCAGAUCCUUCAAAAAAGAAUAGAAAAGAUAAAGUUGUCGACAAAUAGCACAAGUUUACGGUCUGUAUUUUUAAAUCCAAACCUUUUCAAUUGUUGCAUUCACAAACUGCGCAGUAUGGUAAUAACAUAAGGUAAGCUAGAAAUGAGAGGACAAGAUAAAUUGAACUGAUUCAAAUUAGUUGUUUGUGAUAAGACUAAAUUGAAUAGAUUUGAAAAUAUGAUAUAUUGUUAUAAGUGUGCAAUUGAUUUCAAUUAGUGAUUAAUUAUGCUGUUUAAUGAUUGAUUGAUGAAAUUAUAUUGUAGAAUUGAGAAAUUGAGUAUAAAUGAAAUUAAAAUAAGGGUGGAUAGUGGAUAUCAAUUUAUAAGCUUGGAAUUAUGGAUUUGAUAUUUUAUGAUUUAAUCAAUUCGAUUAAGACAGAGAAAAAUCUAUCUUGCAACUAUGAUAACUCGAUUUAAGAUAUGUAAAUAUAUUGAAUUAGGUGAUAUAAUAGGAUUUGUAGAUUGACAUGUUAAAACGCAUUAUAGAAUUUAUAUUAUGUUUUAAUACCACUGUGUUAUACUUAGCGUACCACUUUAUUUCCCAUGCUCAAGUUAGGUACCUUACGAUUUGAUUGUCGACUCCGCAUCCAGUGGCAAAUCCCAAACUCAAACAUUGGUGAUCUGUUUAUUUUGGUAUUG